UACAUUGCAAUUGAUUACACAGUCCUCUCUGGUCCCAAGAGAACACCUACUUUGCCCAUGCAAUGACCUUUUUCCAAAUUUGAGUUAAUCAUUGCCCAUUCGCCUAACUUAAGCAGCAUUUCAGUGUGCUUGUUUCAGAACACUUCCGCCUGGUCUUCAUGAAAUUCCAGAGGUAACUGCAUCUGCUGUGAUUUAGCACAUGAUAUGAGAGACUUUUCAAGGGACUAUAUUGCUGCAAGAAGAGAUGCUUAAUUCCCACUAUUUGCAUUCUGGCUGUGAAUAGUAACUGAAAAACUGCAAUUCAAAUAGUUUUUGUAAGGAAACAUCUGUGAAUGAGAACAGUUAAACUCAAGGAAAUGGGCUUGUGGGUUAUUAAGCAAUACAGUGAAGGACCAGCUAACAUACAAGAACAAAGUCUUUGGUACUUUCUGAAAAAAGAUGGCUUGUUCCUGGGCCAUACUUCUCUAUAAUUUGGGGGAGGAAUUUGUCGCUCCUCACAAACCAUUCCAAUCUGUUUUUUUUUCCUUCUGGUUUACUUUUCAGGAUGCAAAUUCACAUGAAUAGAUUGUUGAUGUUGCUUUAUUCAUGUUCUCCUUUAUAGCAGAAGUUGGUACCAUUUUGGAAACCAAUGGAUUAAAUGAGAGAUCGGAUCUGAGACACAAUCCACUGAAAGAAUGAAACUUCCCCUGACUCAGAUUUUGAUUCUUGGCUUCUCAGUAUUGCUGUCCUUUCCAACAGGUGACGGGCUCAUGUGUCAUCAGUGUUUUUCAAUUAAAAAGGACAAUACAUGUAAAAUACCAUCCAUCUGCAGUGUGUCUAACAGUCAGUUUUGCUUCAUUCAAAGAAUCUCCAGAGGAGGAUACAUUAGGAGAAUAAGCCAAGGUUGCACUUCUUACUGCGCAGAUGCUGUUCGGUUCAGCAAUGCCUUUAUAAAGUAUACUUUUUGCUGCAGGACAGAUUACUGUAAUAAAUAUAAUGUUUGGCAGUUUCAUUAACUUCAGUCUUGGCAGGAGCUGCUCCAUUCUUUCUGCUACUGACAACUGAUAUGUAUCUUCCACACACAGAUACACAGGAUAAUAACAUGGCUUGGUGUGGUGGUGGUGACUUCCUAUUUGUUUAUGUGGGUUGAAGGACCCAUUGGGAUACAGCUUUAUGGCACAUCUUUCCAGUAAGCCUCUGUGCUCUAGGGUUUUGUAGAAUGAUCACCAGAGCUAGAGUUAAGGGAAUGAGGGGAGGAAGAAAUGCAAUUUUCAGACAAAAAUGGCCUCUUCACAGUAACCUUGGCAAAAUGUCAAAAUGUUUGCUGUCUCUGUUAAUAUCAAGAGAUAUAUGAGCCAUUUUGAAUGUCACAUCUGCGCAACAGCUAUACAGAGCCAUCACCAAAUCACUCCAAAUUGCAUCAGGAGUGAUGCUUUCCUACCUGAGGCAAAAAGGCAAGAUGGGUCACCUUCUAUGUGAAGAAAGGGUUUGGACCAGCAAAGGUAGAUUCUCUUCCACAGCAUCUG